rnacentral:rRNA from 1 species
UACGUAGGGGGCAAGCGUUGUCCGGAUUUAUUGGGCGUAAAGAGCGUGUAGGCGGCCUGACAGGUCUGCUGUGAAAACUCGAGGCUCAACCUCGAGAUGUCGGCGGAAACCGUCUGGCUAGAGUCCGGAAGAGGAGAGUGGAAUUCCUGGUGUAGCGGUGAAAUGCGCAGAUAUCAGGAGGAACACCGGUGGCGAAGGCGGGACUCUGGGCCGAUACUGACGCUGAGGAGCGAAAGCGUGGGGAGCAAACAGG